UUCGUUUACCACAACUAACCUUACAGUUCUCUUUCGCUCUCUCCCCCCUCUUUCCAUGGCAGAGCCUUUCCCUAUCUCCAUGACCAUUUUUGGCUAACAAUUCAACUAUUCUUCAGCCAUGGCAGAGUAUUGUCGUACCAUAUUCGGGUAAAUCUCUGUCUCUCUUGCUUUAUCUUUUCAAGAUCCAUGUCGUUCUGUGAUCUCCUUCAAUUUGGUCAACAUAAAAGACCAAAAUUACGUUUGAAAUCUCUGUGGGAGAAUCACCAAGGCAGAGAUUCAAUUUCAAACGGCUACUUUUCAAAAUCAAAUCUGUAAAAUUCCCGCUCAAGAAGCCCUAGAUAUAAUCUGCUGUUAUAAAUACCUGCAUUUGGCCUUAAUUUCGGACCAGCUCGUAGUCGCCGCUACUCCCCUCCAAACUUUUCGAAAUACCUUCUACUUCAUACAUAUCCUCCAUAAAUAUAAGCUUUAAAUCGUGUUUCAUUGCUCAUCUUCUCCCCUCUCAGAUCUUUGUUGGCCUUCAGCCGUGACAAAGAUUUAUGUCGGUCUGAUUGUGUCGCUUGGGUCGUGAAGGAGGUUUGAAGCGGAGAUUCGAGUAGUCGUUGGCAAACCCCAGUUUAUUGCCCUGCAAAAGGUCAGUGACCUCUAACAUUAAGUCCCUCUUUCUGUUAUUCUUAUUUUUUUAUGUUAAAGGCAAAUAGUUAUUUCUGUUUGAAAAUUAGUAGUUCACUUCCUAUGUAGAGAUCAUGAUUUAGGACUCAUUUUGUACACAUAAAAGUCAUGUUUAUAGGAAAUUGUAUUCCAGUCGUGUUUGUCCAGAAACCCAUUAAUAAAUGCUUGAUAAAUUUCCUACACAACUAUUUUGUGUGUUUUAUGUUGUUAAUACAUGAUCAACGUUGUUCUUUUGUAAAUGCCAUGCUCAGCUGAUGUUUCAUUUCUAAUUUCUUGUUAAGGAUAAACGUAUUAUGUGAAAAAGCUCCUUCUUUCUUAUGAACUUCAAUAGCGUUUAUGAGUAAAAAUGAGUAAUCUUUUAACUCAAGAAUUUGGGAGUGUAGUAUUUGUGGACAGAUUACUAUUUAUCUGUCAAAGGUUAAAAAAAGAAAAGAUAAGAGAAUGCAUUCUGUAAGAGUAUUGGUGUAUCUUGUAUACCUUCCAGCAAUAGGAGCUUAGGUUCUUACAUGUCCAGAUAACCAUGACAAAUAUAAGGUUAUUGCAAAAGUUAAUCGAAUAUGUUGCGAGUAAUUUGUGGAUUUACAUUAUUCAUAAAUAGCAUACUCAUACGGUCUUGUUGAUGGCUGCAUUUCUUAAGUAUUGAAUAGCUUUAAAUCUAUGUAAACUCCUUCGGUUAAGACAAUAGCAGAAAACUUGAUGGUCUCCCCAUAAACCUGAGACCUUAACUUAUGCUCGUUUUGGCCUCUCUCUGUUAAUGGAAGUAUAUUGCUUUAUGAUAAGCACCAUGUUUAGGCCUUUCUUCUUAUUUUUAAAUGCCCAAUAUCACGAGCAUGGGUUUUAAUGAAAUAAUUAGCUUCGGAUAUCCUUUGGCAGUAUUUAGCUAAGAAUGUCCCGUAAAUGAGUGAGUUACACUCGCUAUUUAGCAUGCCUAUAGAGGCCUUAUAGAUAGUUCUUCUACCCAAGCUCACUUAGAAAGUUAAGCUCUUUGUCAGAACUAUGGUAUAGAAUUCCAUCCCUAAGAUACAUUUUUAUGUAUUAAUAGCUAGACCAAACUAAGCAAGCUAUACUAUCCUUGAUGCCUUCUCUGUCACAAUGAAGUAGAGAUGCUUAUUUGCAUUAUGAUAAUGAAAUACAUACUGCAUCUAAGAUUUAUUCACUCAUUUUCUCAUCAUAUAAGAUUUAUUUGCUUACUUAGUAAAAGCAUGCCUUAGGAUACCCUGCUUAACUUGUAAUUGCCCCAUCUUAAGUUCUAAAUGAGAAUAAUAGAAAACAUCUGCUUGAAUACUUCGUUAGAGGAUGUUCUUGAAUCAGUGUUAUGAAUCUGAUAGUAUAACAUUCUAACAUGAUGAAUGUGUCUGCUAUGUUGUAAGCUUAUAAGUUUAUAGUAUGAUUCAUAAUGUCUUUAUCCUAUGUUUGCUCGGAAACUAAGUUCAUUCUAAUUCUUGUUUUGUUCUCUUUUGCAUGUGCACUUGGAGCUAACAUGGAGUCUUAAUGCAAGACUCUCCAUACCCGAGCACGGAAUCAUCACAUCCAAUGUUCUUAUAGAGUCACCGGAUAACAAGAAAACAAGCAAAUUUGCUUGGGGUCGCUUAUGGCGGCUUUCAUUAUUCUUUUACUAUUCUGUC
rnacentral:lncRNA from 1 species